GGGAAGGUAGCUCAGUGGUAGAGUGCUUGCCUUGCAAGCAUGAGGCCCUGGGUUCGAUUCCUCAGCACCA
rfam:Dipodomys ordii contig_8553, whole genome shotgun sequence.